rnacentral:rRNA from 1 species
UACAGAGGGUGCAAGCGUUAAUUGGAAUUACUGGGCGUAAAGCGUGCGUAGACGGUCAUGUAAGUCGGGUGUGAAAGCCCCGGGCUCAACCUGGGAAUUGCAUUCGAGACUGCAUGGCUAGGGUGCGGAAGAGGGGAGCGGAAUUUCCGGUGUAGCGGUGAAAUGCGUAGAUAUCGGAAGGAACACCAGUGGCGAAAGCGGCUCCCUGGUCCAGCACCGACGUUCAGGCACGAAAGCGUGGGGAGCAAACAGG